GGCUGACUGGCCAGGGUGCCCCAUAGACAAGAAAUAAAAACAGAAAUCCCAAAUCACCAAUAGACACUCAACACCCCAGGACCCACUAAGCACCCAGGACACACUCAGAGCCCAGGACACACUCAGCACCCCAGACACACUAAGCACCCAGAACAAACUCAGCACAAAGAAAACACUCAGCACCCCAGGUCACACUCAGAGGCCCAGGACACACUGAG
rnacentral:lncRNA from 1 species